UACGGAGGGGGCUAGCGUUGUUCGGAAUUACUGGGCGUAAAGCGCACGUAGGCGGCUUUGUAAGUUAGAGGUGAAAGCCCAGGGCUUAACCCUGGAAUUGCCUUAAGACUGCAUCGCUCGAAUUGUGGAGAGGUGAGUGGAAUUCCGAGUGUAGAGGUGAAAUUCGUAGAUAUUCGGAAGAACACCAGUGGCGAAGGCGACUCACUGGACACAUAUUGACGCUGAGGUGCGAAAGCGUGGGGAGCAAACAGG
rnacentral:rRNA from 1 species